ACCAGGAUUGCCCUAGUAACGGCGAGUGAACAGGCAAGAGCUCAGAUUUGAAAGGCACUUUUGUGCCGUUGUAUUCUGAAGUUAGGGUCCUGAGAAACGAUGCUUAAGUCUUCUGGAAAGGAGCGCCAUGGAGGGUGAUAGCCCCGUCUAGCAUUGACCUCAUAUAGGAUCUUAACAUGGAGUCGAGUUGUUUGGGAAUGCAGCUCAAAUGGGUGGUAUGCUCCAUCUAAAGCUAAAUAUCUGCGAGAGACCGAUAGUAAACAAGUACUGUGAGGGAAAGAUGAAAAGAACUUUGAAAAGAGAGUGAAAAAGUACGUGAAAUUGUUGAAAUGGAAGGGUAGGCCGCUAACCAUGUAGAGCCGUGUUUGGGGGGAAGAUAAAUGCUGUAGAAUGUAGCUCCUCGGAGUAUUAUAGAUGCAGUUCAUAUUCCCACCCGAGCGCGAGGAUCUCAGGUUCUACUAAAUGGUGGUCUACCACCCGUCUUGAAC
rnacentral:rRNA from 1 species